CUUGACUGUAGCCUGGAAUUGGGUUUGGGCUCUUUUUGCGCAGUCUAGGUGGGAGGCGUUGAAAGUAUUUUUUCGGAAAUACUGGAGCCAUCAGUGAGAGACCACUCUGAAAGAGCUAGAAUUCUAAUAGCGAUCCUUGAAUCAGGACGCUUGACAGUUUCAGGCGGGCAGUUUGACUGGGGCGGUCGCCUCCUAAAAGGUAACGGAGGCGUGCAAAGGUUCCCUCAGGUUGGACGGAAAUCAGCCGUAGCGUGUAAAGGCAGAAGGGAGCUUGACUGCAAGACUUACAAGUCGAGCAGGGGCGAAAGCCGGCCUUAGUGAUCCGACGGUACCGUGUGGAAGGGCCGUCGCUCAACGGAUAAAAGUUA
rnacentral:rRNA from 1 species